CUCUGAUCCACAAAAUCCAUGAUGGCAAAAACCUCUGCUAACGUGUAAAAUAAAUGCAGCAUAUGGCAAGAGCCUGGAAAACCUAUUUGUUUCCUCCAGCUACAGCUGAUCAUUUACUAGAAACAGCUGUCAUAAAGACUACGGUGCACAGGUGUGAAAUGAUUCCUCGAGGAAAGUCAAUUUCCUAAGCAGAGGAGGCACGAGUGGUCCUAGAAAAGGAAUGGUUUUGCAAAAUCUGACAUGGAGUUUGUGUAUAAGUCAGAUAGGGAACUAUGAUUCUGCUGGAAGAGAAACCCUAGCAUUGACAGGAGAGGGUUGAGCAGUUGUUAGUGGCAGCUUUAGAAGAAAAUCUCCGAUCAGCCCACUGGCUUUUGUGGUGCUGUUCUUCAGUCUUUGAAGAGGUGAGAGAUUGUUGAAAACUGAUAGGGACAGAAGGAGCUACAGUAAUGAAUAGUACCUGGUCACCUGCUCAUCAGGAGACUUCACCAGCACAAGAGCAGAUUGGUAAUGCGGACAAGACAAUGAUGACACCUCUGGAAGGCAUGCUGAGGGUUACCAUAGAGAAAGAAGAUAAAGAGGGAAUGGAAGAAAAGACAAUAAAGAGUGGAAAAUGGAAGUUGAGCCAGCUGGCAGAGCUCCGACAAACUUUUGCACUGAUGGGAGAUCCUGUUGCCACCAACUCAAUGAAGAACUGUUAAAAGCAGCAACAUUGCAGAUCAGUAAGCACCUGUGGGCCUUGACGAGACCCUGAGGAAGGACAGCUGUAAAUUCUUAGGUUGUGCUCUGUCCCUCUUCCCAGCCACCUCCAGCCUCAGCUACCAGCCCGGAUGCUGGCACACUGCCUACAACAGCGGCACCUGGGCCUGGGCAGCCUUUAACAACUGCUUGUGGGGGACAGCACCAGCGCUCACAACGCCAAGCAGGGCUCAGAACCUCUUCCUUGUGGGCCCAGAAGAGCCAUCUCUGCCUUGUAGUGAUUACUUGUGGUUUUUAAUUGCCUUGGAGCAACCUCCCAGGGACUGAGGUGAGGCAUGUUAAUUUUUGCAGCACCUGGCACAGUUGUGACCCACAGCAUGGACAGCAGGGCGUGAGCCACCUCCUCUGUGAGGGCUGCCAGCCCUUCUCCCAGCACCCUGCCCUGGCAUGGCCACCACAGCCCAGCCCUAGUCAGCAGCAGCACAACAUGAGCCGGGAUGUGCCCAGGAGGCCAAGAAGGCUGAUGGCACCUUGGCCUGUACCAGCAGUAGUGUGGCCAGCAGGACCAGGGUGUUUAUCUUCUCCCUCUGCUUGGCACUGGUGAGGCUGUACCUUGAAUUCUGUGCACAGUUCUGGGCCUCUCACUUCAGGGACGACAUUGAGGGGCUGGACCGUGUCCAGAGAAGGGGAACGAAGCUGGGGAAGGGUCUGGAGCACGAGUCUGAUGAGGAGCAGCCGAGGGAGCUGGGGGUGUUGAGCCUGGAGAAAGGGAGCCUCAGGUUUUUGCUCUCUACCACCACCUGAAAGAAGGCUGCAGCCAAGUGGGGUCUGGCCUCUUCUGACAGGCAACCAGUGACAGGGCAGGAGGACAGCGGAGGUUGAGGUUGGCUAUCAGGGUGAAUUUCUUCACAUUAAAGGCGAUAAGACAUUGGAAUGGGCAGCCCAGAUUGGAAUCAUCAUCCGUGAAGGUGUUUAAGGAGGUGACACUUAGUGCCCUGGUCU
rnacentral:lncRNA from 1 species